GCCUGGGGGGCUCAGUCCGUUGAGCACCUGACUUCGGCUCAGGUCAUGAGCUUGCAGUUUGUGGGUUCGAGCCCCACGUCAGGCU
rfam:Felis catus isolate Cinnamon breed Abyssinian chromosome E3, whole genome shotgun sequence.